UCUAAGUGCAACUAUAAGUUUUCGUGUCCAACUUUUGAUCGUCGUCUUAUUUGCUUUUUUUUUUAUAAUUAAUAUUUUUAUUAUUAUGAGAUGAUAAAACAUUAAUAGUACUUUAUACAUAACUUAUGUUUUUUUUUUAAAAAAAAUUCAAAUAAGACGGACGGUUAAAGUUGUGCACGGAAAAUUAUUGGUACACUUAAA
rfam:Oryza sativa (indica cultivar-group) chromosome 4, whole genome shotgun sequence.